UUAUUAACUUUUUAUCACCAAAUUCAUUCUGUUUCACAGGUUGAUUACAAUGAAACUAAUGACCAUGUUAACAUCAGAGGAAAAGCAAACUGGGAGAAGAAAGGACAACAUUGUUUUCGAUCUUGAAGGCCUGCGUAGACAUAGGACCAGGAAGGGGAGCUAGGAGUGGGAGAAGUGCCUGUGACUGACAUAUGCACUAUCAGAUGGAAAUCCAGUUCAAAAGGAAAUCUGAAAUAGUGAAAUAGCAGAAAUCAUGACUUACAUACUGUGUAAUCUGCUCUAAAACACAAACAUUUGAAUUUAAAAUGUGUUAAAUGCAAAACAGUUCUACUUACAAAAUGAAUCUUUCAGUAAAUUCUAAAUGCAGCUGAAAAGUGAUAUACAUGAAAUGUGUGAAAACAGUGCAAGUUAAGUUUGAUUUUUUGUUGUAUACAAAACUGAAGAACUUGUAUCCAUUUCAUUUUCUAGAUGCAGUGUUAUUGGAAUUUUUUUCAGAUAAUUUAAAAUUCUACAAGUUGAAGAAAUUUCAAAUAGUAUCUCGAGAAAAAAAGUUUGCACAAUGAAUUGUUUUUCAAAAAUUUGCAGUUGUUUGUUCAUUGUUUUGCCAGUCCAUUACACUUAAACUUUACUUUAUUUAUUCUUAAUAUUUUUGUGAAUGGAUUAGAUUACUCAUUCACAAGGCAAAAUCAAGAAUUUGUUGGUUAAGGUUAAUGUUGUCUCAAGCUAAGUGAUGGGCAGACUUUAUCCAUUUGUAGUGAUUUUGAGAAUAAUAAAAAUAAUUUGUCACAUAAAUCAAUAUUAAAUGACCUGGCUGAAAGUUAUAUAUGAAAAAAAAAUGUAUUUUGUUCAGAUUGUUCUACAUAGAACUUUUUUGCAAGAUUUU